UAGAAUGGGGCCUUGGCCAAAGCCAUAG
rnacentral:piRNA from 1 species